rnacentral:tRNA from 1 species
GAGGGUGUAGCUCAGUGGUAGAGUGUGUGCUUAGGAUGCCUGAGGUCCUGGGUUCAAUCCCAGGUACCAUUA